CAGAAAACGACCAGGACACGCAGGACAGAGAAGAAGGAGUAUAAAAGGCUGAAUAGUUCCAACUUCCAACGCGUCAGCCCUCCCCCAACCACGAGCUCUCCUCCCCCGACCCCAAGCUCUCCUUGCCCCAAAAACAUGUGCAUCCCCAUUUCCAUCUUUCGGUGUGAAGAAAAAACAUAGCGGUUGUUCUUCUUCCCGUCCACCGUCGUUUUUCUUCCUGUCGCCCGUCGUUCUUCUUCUUCCGCUGCCACCAUUCCGACUGACCCAGAGCUCCGGAAGAAGUUCUGCUGGGCUGAGCGGUUUGGGUUACCGGUGCAGCUGUCAGAGGAAGAGAAGCAGAGCUUUGGAUCCCAGAGUUAUGGAUUGGAAAUUUCAUGGCAUAUCAUUUCUAUAGAAAGGACAAGAGACCUCUGAAGUUGCAUCCCCAGCUGGAGAAGUUGCUCAAAGAAGAGUUUCACUCCCUGGACGACGACAGCAGUGAGUCUCCAGCUUUGGCUGAACCUGCUGCUGCUGCUUCUACCAGUUCGUUGAAGUUGGGAUAGUGAAGGAAGUUGAGAAGGGUGGGGGGGGCUUAAUUUUGAUUGUUGUGAUGUUUUUAUCCAAUUCUUUUCUAUAAGUCCUCUAAUGAUGACGAUGAUUUGAGUUGAAUGGGUGGCUCUGAAAUUUUUUUUGCUUUGGAGUUGUUGGUUCACCACGGCUUCAUUGUACAUAAGAAUAAUGAUAGAAUGAAUUAUCAAAAUUGAUUAAUAAUAGAUUAGAAUUAAAUCUGUUUCAUUUUUUAA